rnacentral:lncRNA from 1 species
CUGGAGACCUCAUGAUGAGUCCACUAUUUGGGAAUGAUAAAACCUGUCCAAGUUUUAUUUCUUGUUCUCCAAUUGGGCCCCUCUGCUUUCCAGUGAAUACUUGUUGGCUUUCUCCUCUUCUCUGAUUCACUAAAUGCUCCAUUGCUUUCUUCUGCUUCCUCCUACACAGACACUGAUACAAUGCUCUCAUAUUUAACAUGCUAGCCUGCGGAGACAGUAGAACUGCGAUGCUUCACGGAUAGGCCCUCAACCACAGUGAAAGGCUGCCAGACACAGAGAAGUAAGGAAAAGAGAUGAGCUCUAUGAGGAAAUGCAAAAAGCAAUUAUAAUUUCAAUUGUGGAAAAAGAAAACUCAGAAGUCAACUUAAGAACUUGCCAGUCAGACUGCUUUUUGAGGGAGCUGUCCGAUGAGCUGGUGUUGCUAUUUGAGGUGAACCACCCAGCUAGCUGGGUGGCUUGACUACCUAGAGGGAAAACUUGACCAUUCAUACAGCAGAGAAAGACGUGACUAAAGAACACUGUCCCCACUAUACACUUCCACCCUGCAUGACAUCAGUGAAUCUUUGACUUCCUUUAGGUUAGCAAAGCAUGGAAACGAAUUUCAGGCCAAAUGACGAUACAUUCAUGAUCGCUGGACAAUUUUAUUAUCUGGAUCCUGGGGCAGUGCAUGCAGUGUUUGUCCUGGAGCAACCUCCUUAAGGGGCCACCUCUGCUUGAGCAACACGCUGGAAGCUUCAUAGAUAGGUAACAUUCUCUAGCUUGCUACCCAGCCCCCUUGGUGUCAUGUUUCUCUUCUCCCCCAUCCUCCUGUGUAGUGCAUGUGCUCUCCAGACUCUCCCCAAGGCUCUGUCCCUGUCCCACCUUCCCUCUCUGAGAACUUCCCACCUCCGCUCCACUCCUUCAGGUGAGGAUUUUUUUUUCUCUCUGACUCAACACAUAUGCAGAUAACUUACUGGUCAGACCCUUCUUUGUUGUAUUCGGUCUCUAAGAUCCUGGGCCUAUUUGUUACUCAUAUUGUCUAGAUCUUGGGAGCAGAGCCAUGUCCAAAGAUCAUGGAAUUCUUUGCACACAGAGUGGACACCUGACCUGCCAUCAGGGUGUAGGCUUUCCUGAUGCCCCUCCCACCCGAGCCAGGUGUGAGUGGAAGGGAUGAAUCUCAGAGGGUUGAAUAAGUUAUGAGCCUUAGUUCAUGAUAUAUCAUCAUCUUUGAUUUGGGUUAAUCUUUGAUUUAAUUAGCUAUCACUUUUAUUCCCAUUCUUCAUUCCCAUGCCCCAUCCAUAGGCAGUCAUAUCUAUGUGUUUAAUGUUUACCUUUUUAUCUGUAAAUGCCCUUAUAAAAUAUGCAUUAUUAUUUGGCGUACAUAUAUUUUUCACUUACACAGACAGUAUUGAAUUAUUUAUCUUCUUCCCCCCAUUCAGCACUAUGCUUUUAAGGUGCAUGCAUAUCGUUCUGUGGGCUUCUAUCUGCGGCAUGAUCAGCCACAGUGUGCAUCUGUGUAUCAUGCUCUCUGCCUUCCCAGCCCCUGACAAACACACAGACAAUGCUGUGGGAAACAUCACAGUAUAUAUUCAUAUCUUCAUAUGAGAGGCAUAUUCCCAAGGGUGAAAUUAAGCCCUAUAAGAUGAAUGAGCUAUAGAUACAGGAAUGUAGGUAUAGAUAGAUGUAGAUGGCAAACAUAGAUAUUUAAAUUCAUAUGCUUAC